UAGACAGUGUAGAAACACCAAUUUCAACACAGCCCAGCUUCCAGGAGUGCUUAAACUUUCCGGUCCCUUAUCAAUCUGCAGCUCAGAAAGCACAUGUGGAGACUGUUAGUCACCUAUCCUCCAAGAAGCAGGAUGGGCACUGAGAACCCGACCUACCCUCUCCCGCCACCAGGACAUGGAGGUCUCCAUUCUUCCUCCUUCCCAAAGCAUCCCCACCCCCAGCUUAAUUACCACAGAUCCCUGGAGAGUGGGCAACAGGUUUCUCUUCAAAGCUGACUCCUUAGGAUCUGUAGAUAGCAGAGCCCCUCCCUCUGAUGCCCAACCCCCUCCUCUUUGUGCACAGAUCGUUUACUUAUUAAACCAAUUAGAUUAAAUGACUCAUACUGCACCCUUGGGCAUGA